ACUGAAAGGCAAACAGCUUCUGGCUCUCAGG
rnacentral:piRNA from 1 species